rnacentral:sRNA from 1 species
UACCAAUGGUUGUUGUCAGUGCGAUUGG